rnacentral:rRNA from 1 species
GCAAUGCCGCGUGAGUGAAGAAGGCCUUCGGGUUGUAAAGCUCUUUUGUCAGGGAAGAAAAGGGAUUGGCUAAUAUCUGAUCCUCAUGACGGUACCUGAAGAAUAAGCACCGGCUAACUACGUGCCAGCAGCCGCGGUAAUACGUAGGGUGCAAGCGUUAAUCGGAAUUACUGGGCGUAAAGCGUGCGCAGGCGGUUUUGUAAGACUGUCGUGAAAUCCCCGGGCUCAACCUGGGAAUGGCGAUGGUGACUGCAAGGCUAGAGUUUGGCAGAGGGGGGUAGAAUUCCACGUGUAGCAGUGAAAUGCGUAGAUAUGUGGAGGAACACCGAUGGCGAAGGCAGCCCCCUGGGUCAAAACUGACGCUCAUGCACGAAAGCGUGGGGAGCAAACAGGAUUAGAUACCCUGGUAGUCCACGCCCUAAACGAUGUCUACUAGUUGUCGGGUCUUAAUUGACUUGGUAACGCAGCUAAC